rnacentral:rRNA from 1 species
UACGGGGGGAGCAAGCGUUGUUCGGAUUUACUGGGCGUAAAGGGCGCGUAGGCGGCGCAACAAGUCACUUGUGAAAUCUCCGGGCUUAACCCGGAGCGGUCAAGUGAUACUGUCGUGCUAGAGUGCGGAAGGGGCUACUGGAAUUCUCGGUGUAGCGGUGAAAUGCGUAGAUAUCGAGAGGAACACCUGGCGGCGAAGGCGGGUAGCUGGGCCGACACUGACGCUGAUGCGCGAAAGCCAGGGGAGCGAACGGG